GCUCCCAUAGCUCAACGGAUAGAGCAACUCCCUUCUAAGGAGUAGAUGCCAGUUCGAUUCUGGCUGGGAGUA
rfam:Candidatus Gottesmanbacteria bacterium RIFCSPHIGHO2_02_FTLL_39_14 rifcsphigho2_02_scaffold_18571, whole genome shotgun sequence.